rnacentral:rRNA from 1 species
UACGUAGGGUGCAAGCGUUAAUCGGAAUUACUGGGCGUAAAGCGUGCGCAGGCGGUUUUGUAAGUCUGACGUGAAAUCCCCGGGCUCAACCUGGGAAUUGCGUUGGAGACUGCAAGGCUAGAAUCUGGCAGAGGGGGGUAGAAUUCCACGUGUAGCAGUGAAAUGCGUAGAGAUGUGGAGGAACACCGAUGGCGAAGGCAGCCCCCUGGGCCAAAACUGACGCUCAGGCACGAAAGCGUGGGGAGCAAACAGG